rnacentral:rRNA from 1 species
GACGUAGGGCGCGAGCGUUGUCCGGAUUUAUUGGGCGUAAAGAGCUCGUAGGCGGCUUGUCGCGUCGUCCGUGAAAACCUGCAGCUCAACUGCGGGCUUGCGGUCGAUACGGGCAGGCUAGAGUUCGGUAGGGGAGACUGGAAUUCCUGGUGUAGCGGUGAAAUGCGCAGAUAUCAGGAGGAACACCGGUGGCGAAGGCGGGUCUCUGGGCCGAUACUGACGCUGAGGAGCGAAAGCGUGGGGAGCGAACAGG